rnacentral:rRNA from 1 species
CGGGUGAGUAAUAUAUAGUUAAUGUGCCUCGAAGACCGGGAUAGCCAUUGGAAACGAUGAUUAAUACUGGAUAUACCUUUUUAUCAUAAGUUAGAAAGGGAAACGUUUCUUCGCUUCGAGAUCAGACUAUAUCCCAUCAGCUUGUUGGUGAGGUAAGAGCUCACCAAGGCAAUGACGGGUAGCGGGUUUGAGAGGAUGAUCCGCCACACUGGUACUGAGACACGGACCAG